rnacentral:rRNA from 1 species
UACGUAGGGGGCAAGCGUUGUCCGGAAUCAUUGGGCGUAAAGCGCGUGUAGGCGGCCCGGUAAGUCCGCUGUAAAAGUCCAGGGCUCAACCCUGGAAUGCCGGUGGAUACUGUCGGGCUAGAGUCCGGAAGGGGCGAGUGGAAUUCCUGGUGUAGCGGUGAAAUGCGCAGAUAUCAGGAGGAACACCAAUGGCGAAGGCAGCUCGCUGGGACGUGACUGACGCUGAGACGCGAAAGCGUGGGGAGCAAACAGG